rnacentral:rRNA from 1 species
AGAGUUUGAUCCUGGCUCAGGACGAACGCUGGCGGCGUGUCUAAUGCAUGCAAGUCGAGCGGGGUCGCUUUCGGGCGGCUCACGCGGCGGGCGGGUGCGUAACACGUGGGCAACCUGCCCUGGGGCGGGGGACAGCCGAGGGAAACCUUGGGGAAUUCCGCAUACGUUGGCCGGUCGGUGGGACGGGUCAAGAAAGGCUGACGGUAUCGUUAGCCACCCCAGGAGGGGGCUGCGGCCGAUUAGCUGGACGGUGGGGUAACGGCCUACCGUGGCGAUGAUCGGUAGCUGGUCUGAGAGGACGGCCAGCCACACGGGGACUGAGAGACGGCCCCGACUCCUACGGGAGGCAGCAGCAAGGAAUCUUCCGCAAUGGGCGAGGAGCCUGACGGAGCAACGCCGCGUGGGGGAUGAGGCCCUUCGGGGUGUAAACCCCUCUUCUGCCGGAAGAAGACCGGGGCGACCUGGUUUGACGGUACGGCAGGAAGAAGGACCGGCUAACUACGUGCCAGCAGCCGCGGUAAUACGUAGGGUCCGAGCGUUGUCCGGAGUUACUGGGCGUAAAGCGCGCGCAGGCGGCGGUGCUGGCCCGGCGUGAAAGCCCCCGGCUCAACCGGGGAGGGUCGUCGGGGACCGCACCGCUUGAGGGCGGUAGGGGCUGGUGGAAUGCCUGGUGUAGUGGUGAAAUGCGUAGAGAUCAGGCGGAACACCCGUGGCGAAGGCGGCCAGCUGGGCCGACCCUGACGCUGAGGCGCGAAGGCGUGGGGAGCGAACGGGAUUAGAUACCCCGGUAGUCCACGCAGUAAACGAUGCCGACUAGGCGUGGGGGGAGUUGACCCCCUCCGUGCCGGAGCUAACGCGGGAAGUCGGCCGCCUGGGGAGUACGGCCGCAAGGCUAAAACUCAAAGGAAUUGACGG